rnacentral:rRNA from 1 species
UACGUAGGGUCCGAGCGUUGUCCGGAAUUACUGGGCGUAAAGAGCUCGUGGGUGGUUUGUCGCGUUGUUCGUGAAAACUCACAGCUCAACUGUGGGCGUGCGGGCGAUACGGGCAGACUAGAGUACUGCAGGGGAGACUGGAAUUCCUGGUGUAGCGGUGGAAUGCGCAGAUAUCAGGAGGAACACCGGUGGCGAAGGCGGGUCUCUGGGCAGUAACUGACGCUGAGGAGCGAAAGCGUGGGGAGCGAACAGG